UGACUGAACGUUGCGCGCAGGAGGCAAGGCCAACAUAGCAGUGGCGGUCAUGGCCACUCUUUUUCUACCUCUCAACCCCUAUUCUCCCACCCCAAUUCGAAACCCUAAUCUCUCUUCUCUUCCUUUCCAAACCCUAAGACAUCAUCGCACCCCAUUCCUUCGUGCAUUUAACGAAGAUUCCAAUCCUGAAACCGUCCAAGAUGGCGAGGUGAACAAUUUGGGAGUCAAAGCUGCACUGUCCAUGUUGAGAUUCUACAAGAGGGAAAUUUCACCAAUUUUGCCAAAGAGUUGUCGAUACAUUCCAACAUGCAGUGAGUAUUCCAUGCAGGCUUAUAAGAAAUAUGGAGUGAUGAAGGGUACAGUUUUGACUGCAUGGCGUUUGUGUCGUUGCAAUCCCCUUGGUGGGCAUGGUUAUGAUCCACCUAGAUGGUUUGGUGAGGUUAGUCCACUGGAAGAUGCUGAUGACGACUGAUUAAUAUUGAUGGCUGAUUUUAAGGUGGUCAUCGCUACUGACUGAACAUUUUGAUGUUCAUAGAUGUGCUAAUGUUGUGAGUUUGUUGUGAUUUGCAUCUGCCUUUUCUGCACGACUUUGUACUAAUGCAAAAUAAGUUCUGUUCUUACCGCAUCAGAGAAAUUGCAUUAAGUAAGAAGAAUGAUAUACCGGGUCCAAAUAGUGCUGAUGAUAAUCACAUUGAACUUCUUUGUACAGCCAAAGAGAAAACAGUGCUGAAACAAAGAGAGAUCUGUUAACUUCUAUGCUAAAUUACUGGUGGCUUUCAAGAAAGAGAUUGUUAUAUGAUAACAUUCUGGGAAAAAAAGAUGACCUUCCUCAGGCUGAAUUCAGGAAACAUAAGUAGUGCUAAUGUUGCGGAAGUCUGCAUUCAGAUAAUUGGUGUCUUUGGAAGGACUGUAGUGGGAUCAGGUUGAGCAAAAUGCUGUAUGAUGUCAAAGAUUUCAGAGCUUUUUACACCAUUUUCAGGUGUUACAUUUGGAUUUGUGGUCUUUGAACCCACAAACUCCACGUCAUCUUCAUCAUCAGAAACAGUGCUCUUGUGGACAGGAUUAAGGGUCUCAAAGCAUGUGAUUCCUUCAAAGCAGUCUUCCAACCCAAGCCUUUUGAGUGCCUUAAUCGCAUGGACUUUGUCUCCGUUGGUGAAGAUCUAUUCACAAAACAAAAUCAAGUGUUGGAUGGAAUUACAAAUAAUUAGAAAAGGAAGAAAAGAGAAUAUGCUAAUGAGGGUGUCAUUUGAAAUUAAUACUAUAUGCUAAUCAUCAUUAAAUAACAUACAGAUAAAUCAUAAAAUAUGUGGUUAAGUUUUAAUUCAUAUAGUUUUUUUUUUUUUUACUUGUAAUCCUUAUGUUUUAAGGAAAACACAUUUUUAGUCCUUGCUGGGCUUUUGAUAAAUGUGGGGACAAGAGUCAAUAAUUUGUUUUAAAAGACUAAAAUAAAAAUAUGUUAUAUUUUCAGAGAUCAAAAAUAAUUUUAACCUAAGAUGAUUUUUAAAUAUUUUAAUAUUUUGACUGGAAUAUGGUCAAUUACUUAAAAGGACUGGUGUGGAUGUUGCAUGACCAAGGAUAAUAAUAUUUAAAAUAUUUUCUGAA